GACGAACGCUGGCGGCGUGCUUAACACAUGCAAGUCGAACGGUAAGGCCCUUCGGGGUACACGAGUGGCGAACGGGUGAGUAACACGUGGGUGAUCUGCCCUGCACUUCGGGAUAAGCCUGGGAAACUGGGUCUAAUACCGGAUAGGACUCCUGCCUGCAUGGGUGGGGGUGGAAAGCUUUUGCGGUGUGGGAUGGGCCCGCGGCCUAUCAGCUUGUUGGUGGGGUGAUGGCCUACCAAGGCGACGACGGGUAGCCGGCCUGAGAGGGUGACCGGCCACACUGGGACUGAGAUACGGCCCAGACUCCUACGGGAGGCAGCAGUGGGGAAUAUUGCACAAUGGGCGCAAGCCUGAUACAGCGACGCCGCGUGAGGGAUGACGGCCUUCGGGUUGUAAACCUCUUUCAGCACAGACGAAGCGCAAGUGACGGUAUGUGCAGAAGAAGGACCGGCCAACUACGUGCCAGCAGCCGCGGUAA
rnacentral:rRNA from 1 species